UACGGGGGGAGCAAGCGUUGUUCGGAUUUACUGGGCGUAAAGGGCGCGUAGGCGGUCGUGACAAGUCACUUGUGAAAUCUCCGGGCUUAACUCGGAACGGUCAAGUGAUACUGUCGGACUAGAGUACAGAAGGGGCAACUGGAAUUCUCGGUGUAGCGGUGAAAUGCUUAGAUAUGACAUAGAACACCAAUUGCGAAGGCAGCUUACUACCCGAAUAUUGACACUGAGGCACGAAAGCGUGGGGAUCAAACAGG
rnacentral:rRNA from 1 species